UGGGGAAUUUUGGACAAUGGGCGAAAGCCUGAUCCAGCAAUGCCGCGUGUGUGAAGAAGGCCUUCGGGUUGUAAAGCACUUUUGUCCGGAAAGAAAUCCUUGGCUCUAAUACAGUCGGGGGAUGACGGUACCGGAAGAAUAAGCACCGGCUAACUACGUGCCAGCAGCCGCGGUAAUACGUAGGGUGCAAGCGUUAAUCGGAAUUACUGGGCGUAAAGCGUGCGCAGGCGGUUUGCUAAGACCGAUGUGAAAUCCCCGGGCUCAACCUGGGAACUGCAUUGGUGACUGGCAGGCUAGAGUAUGGCAGAGGGGGGUAGAAUUCCACGUGUAGCAGUGAAAUGCGUAGAGAUGUGGAGGAAUACCGAUGGCGAAGGCAGCCCCCUGGGCCAAUACUGACGCUCAUGCACGAAAAGCGUGGGGAGCAAAACAGGAUUAGAUACCCUGGUAGUCCACGCCCUAAAACGAUGUCAACUAGUUGUUGGGGAUUCAUUUCCUUAGUAACGUAGCUAACGCGUGAAGUUGACCGCCUGGGGAGUACGGUCGCAAGAUUAAAACUUAAAGGAAUUGACGGGGUCAUA
rnacentral:rRNA from 1 species